rnacentral:rRNA from 1 species
GAUGAACGCUGGCGGCGUGCUUAACACAUGCAAGUCGAACGGUGAAACAGGAGCUUGCUCCUGCGGAUCAGUGGCGAACGGGUGAGUAACACGUGAGCAAUCUGCCCUGGACUCUGGGAUAAGCGUUGGAAACGACGUCUAAUACCGGAUACGAGCUGCGCAGGCAUCUUCAGCAGCUGGCAAGAACUUCGGUCCAGGAUGAGCUCGCGGCCUAUCAGCUAGUUGGUGAGGUAACGGCUCACCAAGGCGACGACGGGUAGCCGGCCUGAGAGGGUGACCGGCCACACUGGGACUGAGACACGGCCCAGACUCCUACGGGAGGCAGCAGUGGGGAAUAUUGGACAAUGGGGGCAACCCUGAUCCAGCGACGCCGCGUGAACGAUGAAGGCCUUAGGGUUAUAAAGCUCUUUCAGCGAGGAAGAUAAUGACUGUACUCGCAGAAGAAGCCCCGGCUAACUACGUGCCAGCAGCCGCGGUAACAC